rnacentral:rRNA from 1 species
UUAAGUUAGAAAGGGCGCACGGUGGAUGCCUUGACACUAGGAGUCGAUGAAGGACGGGACUAACGCCGAUAUGCUUCGGGGAGCUGUAAGUAAGCUUUGAUCCGAAGAUUUCCGAAUGGGGAAACCCACCAUACGUAAUGGUAUGGUAUCCUUAUCUGAAUACAUAGGAUAAGGAAGACAGACCCAGGGAACUGAAACAUCUAAGUACCUGGAGGAAGAGAAAGCAAAUGCGAUUUCCUGAGUAGCGGCGAGCGAAACGGAACAUAGCCCAAACCAAGAGGCUUGCCUCUUGGGGUUGUAGGACAUUCUAUACGGAGUUACAAAGGAACGAGGUAGACGAAGCGACCUGGAAAGGUCCGUCGUAGAGGGUAACAACCCCGUAGUCGAAACUUCGUUCUCUCUUGAAUGUAUCCUGAGUACGGCGGAACACGUGAAAUUCCGUCGGAAUCUGGGAGGACCAUCUCCCAAGGCUAAAUACUCCCUAGUGAUCGAUAGUGAACCAGUACCGUGAGGGAAAGGUGAAAAGCACCCCGGAAGGGGAGUGAAAGAGAUCCUGAAACCGUGUGCCUACAAAUAGUCAGAGCCCGUUAACGGGUGAUGGCGUGCCUUUUGUAGAAUGAACCGGCGAGUUACGAUCCCGUGCGAGGUUAAGCUGAAGAGGCGGAGCCGCAGCGAAAGCGAGUCUGAAUAGGGCGUUUAGUACGUGGUCGUAGACCCGAAACCAGGUGAUCUACCCAUGUCCAGGGUGAAGUUCAGGUAACACUGAAUGGAGGCCCGAACCCACGCACGUUGAAAAGUGCGGGGAUGAGGUGUGGGUAGCGGAGAAAUUCCAAUCGAACCUGGAGAUAGCUGGUUCUCCCCGAAAUAGCUUUAGGGCUAGCCUUAAGUGUAAGAGUCUUGGAGGUAGAGCACUGAUUGGACUAGGGGUCCUCAUCGGAUUACCGAAUUCAGUCAAACUCCGAAUGCCAAUGACUUAUCCUUAGGAGUCAGACUGCGAGUGAUAAGAUCCGUAGUCAAAAGGGAAACAGCCCAGACCGCCAGCUAAGGUCCCAAAGUGUGUAUUAAGUGGAAAAGGAUGUGGAGUUGCUUAGACAACUAGGAUGUUGGCUUAGAAGCAGCCACCAUUUAAAGAGUGCGUAAUAGCUCACUAGUCGAGUGACUCUGCGCCGAAAAUGUACCGGGGCUAAAUACACCACCGAAGCUGCGGAUUGAUACCAAUGGUAUCAGUGGUAGGGGAGCGUUCUAAGGACAGUGAAGUCAGACCGGAAGGACUGGUGGAGUGCUUAGAAGUGAGAAUGCCGGUAUGAGUAGCGAAAGACGGGUGAGAAUCCCGUCCACCGAAUGCCUAAGGUUUCCUGAGGAAGGCUCGUCCGCUCAGGGUUAGUCAGGACCUAAGCCGAGGCCGACAGGCGUAGGCGAUGGACAACAGGUUGAUAUUCCUGUACCACCUCUUUAUCGUUUGAGCAAUGGAGGGACGCAGAAGGAUAGAAGAAGCGUGCGAUUGGUUGUGCACGUCCAAGCAGUUAGGCUGAUAAGUAGGCAAAUCCGCUUAUCGUGAAGGCUGAGCUGUGAUGGGGAAGCUCCUUAUGGAGCGAAGUCUUUGAUUCCCCGCUGCCAAGAAAAGCUUCUAGCGAGAUAAAAGGUGCCUGUACCGCAAACCGACACAGGUAGGCGAGGAGAGAAUCCUAAGGUGUGCGAGAGAACUCUGGUUAAGGAACUCGGCAAAAUGACCCCGUAACUUCGGGAGAAGGGGUGCUUUCUUAACGGAAAGCCGCAGUGAAUAGGCCCAAGCGACUGUUUAGCAAAAACACAGCUCUCUGCGAAGCCGUAAGGCGAAGUAUAGGGGGUGACACCUGCCCGGUGCUGGAAGGUUAAGGAGAGGGGUUAGCGUAAGCGAAGCUCUGAACUGAAGCCCCAGUAAACGGCGGCCGUAACUAUAACGGUCCUAAGGUAGCGAAAUUCCUUGUCGGGUAAGUUCCGACCCGCACGAAAGGUGUAACGAUUUGGGCACUGUCUCAACCAGAGACUCGGUGAAAUUAUAGUACCUGUGAAGAUGCAGGUUACCCGCGACAGGACGGAAAGACCCCGUGGAGCUUUACUGUAGCCUGAUAUUGAAUUUUGGUACAGUUUGUACAGGAUAGGCGGGAGCCUUUGAAACCGGAGCGCUAGCUUCGGUGGAGGCGCUGGUGGGAUACCGCCCUGACUGUAUUGAAAUUCUAACCUACGGGUCUUAUCGACCCGGGAGACAGUGUCAGGUGGGCAGUUUGACUGGGGCGGUCGCCUCCUAAAGUGUAACGGAGGCGCCCAAAGGUUCCCUCAGAAUGGUUGGAAAUCAUUCGUAGAGUGCAAAGGCAUAAGGGAGCUUGACUGCUAGACCUACAAGUCGAGCAGGGACGAAAGUCGGGCUUAGUGAUCCGGUGGUUCCGCAUGGAAGGGCCAUCGCUCAACGGAUAAAAGCUACCCCGGGGAUAACAGGCUUAUCUCCCCCAAGAGUCCACAUCGACGGGGAGGUUUGGCACCUCGAUGUCGGCUCAUCGCAUCCUGGGGCUGUAGUCGGUCCCAAGGGUUGGGCUGUUCGCCCAUUAAAGCGGUACGCGAGCUGGGUUCAGAACGUCGUGAGACAGUUCGGUCCCUAUCCGUCGUGGGCGUAGGAAAUUUGAGAGGAGCUGUCCUUAGUACGAGAGGACCGGGAUGGACGCACCGCUGGUGUACCAGUUGUUCUGCCAAGGGCAUAGCUGGGUAGCUAUGUGCGGAAGGGAUAAGUGCUGAAAGCAUCUAAGCAUGAAGCCCCCCUCAAGAUGAGAUUUCCCAUAGCGUAAGCUAGUAAGAUCCCUGAAAGAUGAUCAGGUUGAUAGGUUCGAGGUGGAAGCAUGGUGACAUGUGGAGCUGACGAAUACUAAUAGAUCGAGGACUUAACCAU